ACAGGAUCUUUGAUCUAUUUGCCUUCAAAAUCAUACUAUUAAACUAAAGAGCCAAAGCAGCGCCAAUACCCUCUUUAUAACACCCAAGGGUAAUAUAAGCGCAUUUUUCACAUCAAUUAGUAGACAGUGUUUGCUGAAAAAUGUUCAAAUUUCUACUUAUUUUUUUAUCAGUAAUAACUUUGUGCUUAACAAGUAUUCUCAAUUUUAAAGAGCGAACUUCAGCUAAAUUUGGUUUGGGCUGGGGAAAAAAUCAAGAUUAUGAAGCUGCGAACCAAGAAUUACUUCUCAAUUCUUUUAACAAAAUUCAAUACAAUGCUUUGAAUUCACCCGAUGACUCGCAGCGAAACUUGCCGAAGUUCUACAGAGGGGCGACUGGAGGUUUCAGUGUGGACAAGAACUGGUUUUUGUUUCUUCUGGGUCAACACCUGAGCUCGCCUAUUUCAAAAAAAUCAGAUGAUUCUUCAAAAAUUCAUUCCAGAUCAUACACAAACGAACAGAAAUGGAUCGGUUAGCAGCAGCUGUAAUCCCCAGUUCUUGUUGUGCCUCGGUCUCCACUUCAACAUCACAGAUCUUCAUCCAUUAACCACAAGUUUCAACAUAUCCGAUGGCCUCUAAAAUGACUGGACUAUCGUUUGUUUGACUAUAGAAGAAUGUACGUUGAGAAAAUUUGGCAAUUAACUGA